CCGCCCCGCGCCCCCACCCCGGGGGCCGGCCAGGCUCCAUCACCGCCCGCGGGGACGCCAGUGCCGCCGAGGUCGGGGCCGGGCCGGCUGCGCGGCGGGGGCUUCCCGAGCGGUUGGCCGCGCUUCCUCGGGUUUCAAGUUUCGAACUUGCCGAACAUGUGAGAUUUUAACAGCAGAAGCGGCCGGGGUUCCCGCGGGCGGGCGGCCUCUCGGGGCCGGGGGCGACCCGGGCGCGGACGCAGAGCCUCGCGUGUCCCGCGCCCUGCAGCGCCCGGGGGCCUCCGCGCCACCCGCCCCUCAAGCGAGCCGGCGAGGCCCCCGGGUCCCCUCAAGUCCAGAGACUCGGAGCCAGGACCCACGCGGGCGACCCCGGCCCGAGAGCUGUCCCCACCCGGAGGGGGCCAGCACAGGGCGCCCGCGGGACCCGGCCCGAGUCCCCGCGAGUGGGGGGCCAGGCCGCCCGCAGUGCCCCCAGCGCCCGGGAGGGGGCGCCCGGCGGAGCGCAGGCGGGCGGGCGGGCCUCGGGCGGCGGGCGCCCCUGACGUCACCGGCCCGCGGUCGCCAGGGCGACGGCCUCAUCCCGCGCGCGUCAGAGCCGCCAGUCUCUUGGCAACCGCCCGAUCUCCCGCUCUCCCUCCGCCCGGCGCUCGGCCGCGCGUCGCCCUGGCGUCAAAGUGACGUCAAUGGGCGGCCCCCGCCCGGGCGGCGGGGGCGGGGCAGGGGGCGGGGCCCGAGGGGCGGGGCGGGGCCGGGCGCCGCGUGCGGCGGAGCGCGGCGGCUCUGGGCUGACAUGCGGCGCGGCCCCGGAGGCGGCAGCAGCGGCAGCGGCGGUGGCCGGAGCGGUAGGCGCCGGAGCAGCGCGAGUGGCCGAUCGGGCGGCUUCCCGGCCUGGGCGCUCCGGGGGCGGCGGAGGUGAGGCGGCGGCGGGCUCCGGGCUCCGGGCGGGCGGCGGUGGCCGCCGUGGGGGCUCCGCGCGGGCGCCGGGCCGGGGCUCGGGGUUGCGGCCACCACUAGGGUCCCCGGUCGUACGCGCGCGGGGGGUCACGGACGGGGUCGGUGGUCCCGCCACCCGCGGGCUCCCCUUUGUUGCGUGGGCCAUGGUGG
rnacentral:lncRNA from 13 species